CGACCUACGGGGCGCAGCAGUGGGGAAUAUUGCGCAAUGGGGGCAACCCUGACGCAGCAACGCCGCGUGCAGGAAGAAGGUCUUCGGAUUGUAAACUGUUGUCGCAGGGGAAGAAGACAGUGACGGUACCCUGUGAGAAAGUCACGGCUAACUACGUGCCAGCAGCCGCGGUAAUACGUAGGUGACAAGCGUUGUCCGGAUUUACUGGGUGUAAAGGGUGCGUAGGCGGCCUGCUAAGUCUGGAGUGAAAGGUACCG
rnacentral:rRNA from 1 species